rnacentral:rRNA from 1 species
CUGUUAAGUCAGGUAACGAGCGAGAUCCCUGCCGCUAGUUGCUAUCAUUAUUCUCAGGAAUAGUGGAGCGAAUUAGCGGGACUGCCGUUGUUAAAACGGAGGAAGGAAGGGGCUACGGCAGGUCAGUAUGCCCCGAAACUCUGGGGCCACACGCGGGCUGCAAUGGUAGUGACAAUGAGUUCCAAACUCGAAAGAGAGUGGCAAUCUCUAAACGCUACCACAGUUAUGACUGAGGGCUGUAACUCGCCCUCACGAAUAUGGAAUCCCUAGUAACCGCGUGUCAUUACCGCGCGGUGAAUACGUCCCUGCUCCU